GGGGGGGAGUCGAACCCCCAUAAAUAGGUUUACAGCCUACCGCCUUAACUCGGCCACCUAACC
rnacentral:tRNA from 1 species